ACGAGGGUGACGAGGUGGUGCAUGGUUGUCGUCAGCUCGUGUCGUGAGAUGUUCGGGUUAGGUCCCGCAACGAGCGCAACCCUCGACCUUAGUUGCCAGCAUUCAGUUGGGCACUCUAAGGUGACUGCCGGCUAAAAGUCGGAGGAAGGUGGGGAUGACGUCAAAUCAUCAUGCCCCUUAUGACCUGGGCUACACACGUGCUACAAUGGGCGGUACAAAGGGUCGCGAACCCGCGAGGGGGAGCCAAUCCCAAAAAGCCGCUCUCAGUUCGGAUUGCAGGCUGCAACUCGCCUGCAUGAAGCCGGAAUCGCUAGUAAUCGCGGAUCAGCAUGCCGCGGUGAAUACGUUCCCGGGCCUU
rnacentral:rRNA from 1 species